rnacentral:rRNA from 1 species
GACGAACGCUGGCAGCGUGCUUAACACAUGCAAGUCGAACGGAAAGGCCCUGCUUGCAGGGUGCUCGAGCGGCGAACGGGUGAGUAACACGUGGGUGAUCUGCCCCUUACUUUGGGAUAAGCCUGGGAAACUGGGUCUAAUACUGGAUAGGACCAUGCUGUAGGUGGUGUGGUGGAAAGAUUAGUUUCGGUAAGGGAUGAGCUCGCGGCCUAUCAGCUUGUUGGUGGGGUAAUGGCCUACCAAGGCGUCGACGGGUAGCCGGCCUGAGAGGGUGGACGGCCACAUUGGGACUGAGAUACGGCCCAGACUCCUACGGGAGGCAGCAGUGGGGAAUAUUGCACAAUGGGCGCAAGCCUGAUGCAGCGACGCCGCGUGGGGGAUGACGGCCUUCGGGUUGUAAACUCCUUUCAGCCAUGACGAAGCCCUUGUGGUGACGGUAGUGGUAGAAGAAGCACCGGCUAACUACGUG